rnacentral:lncRNA from 1 species
AUUAUCUCAAGUCUGAAAAGAACCCAAAGAAGUAGGUGGAGCAGGAAUUUAUAGCCCUGUUUUACAUGUUAGGAAAUCCUUGAUUUAGAGAGGUUAAGAAACCCACCCAAUGUCACACUGUUCCUGUAGAAGGAGGUAAGAAGGCUGAGUUCCUAAAUUCCACUCCAGCUCACCACGUGGUUAUGAUGCCGCAGAGUUCUAUAAGGAAGAUGGACUUCAGAAAAGCAACUAGCACACCAAGCCCCAAUGUUAGGGCCAGAGAUGUGUUGUCUCAGUGGUAGCAGAAGCAAAUGUUAUUAGCUCCACUUUAUAGCUAAGGAAAAUUAAGCCCAGGAAAUGAGUCCAGUGGAAGGAAGGCUUUCAUUCCUUCAUAAAUAUUAAUUCAAUAAUUCAAUAGAGUCUCCAUACCUGCACUGUCUUAGGUGCAGGGAGAUACCAUGAUAAAAGGGCAGACAAUGUUGCUGCCCUCAAGGAGCUGACAUUCUAGUGGAGGAAGACAGAUGCAAAAAGGAAUGUAUGCCCACAUCACACAACUAAAUUGUGGCAUGAUGGAGUUCAACAAAAUAUGGAUACAGAGAGCAAGGUUUGAGGGUAAAUUUAACCAAGGUAGGGUAAUCAGAGGAGCCUGAUCUGAAAAGGCAGGAAUUAAAAUAAGCUCUAAAGGAUUAUUAGAAACUAGGGAGAGAGGAGCUGACUGGUAGAAAUGGGGAGUGUUUCAGGGAGAGCAAAAAGCCCAUUCAAAAACCUCAUGCAAAGAAGAGUUGGGCAAUUUGAAGAAUUGAAAUGAAACUCUAGGACUGGGCACGGAGAAUGUGAAGAAGUGAGGAGGGGUUGGAGCUGGAGAGAUAGGUGGGACUGGAUCCCAUACAACUUGAGUGUUGCUGGAGAUGGCCACUGGAGAGGCUGAGUCAAAUCAAUCUCCUCACCUGAGGACUUCCUAAGACCAGCGCACUGAAGGACCAGCAGCAACAACAACAAUAAUGCUAAUGCUCCCUUAUGGACAAGACUGCAAUUCUCUGCCUGCUGAAGCUCAGCUAUGACCACGUGACUUGCCUUGGCCAAUGAAAGAGGAAGAGUAUGUAACACUGCUGAAUGGAAGCAAGUGGCCCCUGCCCCUGCUGCAGAGAUUCUAGACAUGUGUGCCAUGCUGGAGCAAGGAGACAGGGAGUCCUGGAGAAAGGAGACAUGGAACAGAGCUCCCAGCCCAGUCAAUAUGUAACAUGAGUGAGAAAUAAAUAACACUUUGUUGCUAGAA